rnacentral:rRNA from 1 species
UACGGAGGAUUCAAGCGUUAUCCGGAUUUAUUGGGUUUAAAGGGAGCGUAGGCGGCGCAGUAAGUUAGGAGUGAAAUCCCGGGGCUCAACCCCGGAACUGCUUUUAAAACUGCUGUGCUUGAGUGAUGGAGAGGAAAGCGGAAUUCCUAGUGUAGCGGUGGAAUGCGUAGAUAUUAGGAGGAACACCAGAGGCGAAGGCGGCUUUCUGGACAUUAACUGACGCUGAGGCUCGAAAGCGUGGGGAGCAAACAGG